GAUGAACGCUGGCGGCGUGCCUAAUACAUGCAAGUCGAGCGAACGGACGAGAAGCUUGCUUCUCUGAUGUUAGCGGCGGACGGGUGAGUAACACGUGGAUAACCUACCUAUAAGACUGGGAUAACUUCGGGAAACCGGAGCUAGUACCGGAUAAUAUUUUGAACCGCAUGGUUCAAAAGUGAAAGACGGUCUUGCUGUCACUUAUAGAUGGAUCCGCGCUGCAUUAGCUAGUUGGUAAGGUAACGGCUUACCAAGGCAACGAUGCAUAGCCGACCUGAGAGGGUGAUCGGCCACACUGGAACUGAGACACGGUCCAGACUCCUACGGGAGGCAGCAGUAGGGAAUCUUCCGCAAUGGGCGAAAGCCUGACGGAGCAACGCCGCGUGAGUGAUGAAGGUCUUCGGAUCGUAAAACUCUGUUAUUAGGGAAGAACAUAUGUGUAAGUAACUGUGCACAUCUUGACGGUACCUAAUCAGAAAGCCACGGCUAACUACGUGCCAGCAGCCGCGGUAAUACGUAGGUGGCAAGCGUUAUCCGGAAUUAUUGGGCGUAAAGCGCGCGUAGGCGGUUUUUUAAGUCUGAUGUGAAAGCCCACGGCUCAACCGUGGAGGGUCAUUGGAAACUGGAAAACUUGAGUGCAGAAGAGGAAAGUGGAAUUCCAUGUGUAGCGGUGAAAUGCGCAGAGAUAUGGAGGAACACCAGUGGCGAAGGCGACUUUCUGGUCUGUAACUGACGCUGAUGUGCGAAAGCGUGGGGAUCAAACAGGAUUAGAUACCCUGGUAGUCCACGCCGUAAACGAUGAGUGCUAAGUGUUAGGGGGUUUCCGCCCCUUAGUGCUGCAGCUAACGCAUUAAGCACUCCGCCUGGGGAGUACGACCGCAAGGUUGAAACUCAAAGGAAUUGACGGGGACCCGCACAAGCGGUGGAGCAUGUGGUUUAAUUCGAAGCAACGCGAAGAACCUUACCAAAUCUUGACAUCCCUUGACAACUCUAGAGAUAGAGCCUUCCCCUUCGGGGGACAAAGUGACAGGUGGUGCAUGGUUGUCGUCAGCUCGUGUCGUGAGAUGUUGGGUUGAGUCCCGCAACGAGCGCAACCCUUAAGCUUAGUUGCCAUCAUUAAGUUGGGCACUCUAAGUUGACUGCCGGUGACAAACCGGAGGAAGGUGGGGAUGACGUCAAAUCAUCAUGCCCCUUAUGAUUUGGGCUACACACGUGCUACAAUGGACAAUACAAAGGGCAGCGAAACCGCGAGGUCAAGCAAAUCCCAUAAAGUUGUUCUCAGUUCGGAUUGUAGUCUGCAACUCGACUACAUGAAGCUGGAAUCGCUAGUAAUCGUAGAUCAGCAUGCUACGGUGAAUACGUUCCCGGGUCU
rnacentral:rRNA from 1 species